rnacentral:lncRNA from 1 species
AAAUAUUUGGUAUAUUUCCUAUAAUUGAUAUGUUAAAAGAAGCAGUUAAGUUAUUCAAUGGUACACAUGCUGUUGCUGACCUUACACCACUAUCUUCAAAUGAAGCAAAAGUCAUUGUGGGAAAUUUUUUUGCAAGAGCAGUAAAGCCUAUGUUAGGACUUAUAGAAGCUUAUGGACAUAAUCGAGCACGUCAAAGAGAAAAGCUUGGUAUAUUGUUGGCUGAAUUUGGAGCGCUGCAAA